UUAUUUGACAUCUGAGACAAAAAACAUCAUUGAUUUUUUUAUUCUUAUACAAAUAGAGAAACUCAUUUAUUAUUAUUAUUAUUAUUAUUAUUAUUAUUAUUAUUAUUACUGCAAUGGUGAGCCUUUUCAUAUUAUUCAUUUUGUCUUAACCCGCGACCAAAAAACAUCAAUAUAUAGAUAAUUAUUUGCGUGUGUGUGUGUGUGUGUGUGUGUGUGUGUGUGUGUGUGUGUGUGUGUGUGUGUGUGUGUGUGUGUGUGUGUGUGUGUGUGUGUGUGUGUGUGUGUGUGUGUGUGUGUGUGUGUGUGUGUGUGUGUGUGUGUGUGUGUGUGUGUGUGUGUGUCCUUGAAAAAGCGUUUCAAACCUGACUGACUGACUGACUGACUGACUGACAAAAAUAAAAUACAAAAAUCAAAUUAAUUUCAUGUGUUAAUUCAAUGUAUAUAUUUCAAUUAAUAAAUAUUUUUAAAUGGUUCAAAUUGCU